rnacentral:rRNA from 1 species
CCUGGCUCAGGACGAACGCUGGCGGCGUGCCUAAUACAUGCAAGUAGAACGCUGAAGGAGGAGCUUGCUUCCCUGGAUGAGUUGCGAACGGGUGAGUAACGCGUAGGUAACCUGCCUGGUAGCGGGGGAUAACUAUUGGACACGAUAGCUAAUACCGCAUAAUAGCAGUUAUUGCAUGAUAACUGUUUGAAAGGUGCAAUUGCACCACUACCAGAUGGACUUGCGUUGUAUUAGCUAGUUGGUGGGGUAACGGCUCACCAAGGCUACGAUACAUAGCCGACCUGAGAGGGUGGUCGGCCACACUGGGACUGAGACACGGCCCAGACUCCUACGG